UUCCUCCCCAUCCCCAGGUCGGGCUGGGCCCUGCAGCGCUCCUACUCCCCCUUCCCAGCCCCCAGACUUAAUGCUGAUACCACCACUAGCACCGAUGCCAAUACAACCGCUGUCGCCCUCAAUGCAGCCCAGCUCCCAUGUUUCUCCCGCUUGGCUGCAGCUCCAGCCCUGCUCUGUCCCCCGUAGCUUCCUGCCCAGCUCCACACUGCAGCCUUCCCAGCACCCAGAAACAGCACAAACCCCACAGAACUCCAGUGUCCCCUCCCCUAGUCCUUUACACACACCUGCUAAGCCAGGCCUGGGACCCACAGCUCCAUCACCCCUCUCUCUGCAGGUCCCCUGAAGACCUUGCCAAAGUGUGAGAUCACCCUGGAGAAACUCAAGAAUGACAUGGCGGUUUCAGCCAUUCCCUGUACCGCACAUUCGCUCCAGCCAUGACUGCCAUCCACGGCCCACUCAUCACACACGUCCACAGUGGUGUGCACCCGGAAGCACAGGCUUGAGGACGAUGAGCGGCAGAGCAUCCCCAGCAUGCUCCAGGGCGAGGUGGCCAGGCUGGACCCCAAGUGCAUGAUAAACCUGGACUCUUCUCGCUGCAGCAACAAUGGCACCGUCCACCUGGUCUGCAAGCUGGUGCCCACCCACUACCCUGCCCAGAGUCCACUGUGGAUGGACUGGCAGUGGCUAUACAACCCCUUCCUCAGGUCGAUGCACCACCGCGUGACCUCCAGGCAGCUGCAGCUCCCGGACAAGCACUAGGUUACCACCUUGCUCAGCACCUGUGCCCAGAGCAUCCACAAGGCCUGCCUCUCGGCUGCCUAG
rnacentral:lncRNA from 1 species